rnacentral:SRP_RNA from 1 species
GCCCAGCAUGGUGGCACGUGCCUGUAGUUCCAGCUACUCGGGAGGCUGAGGUGGGAGGAUUGCUUGAGCCCAGGAGUUCUGGACUGUAGUGCACUAUGCCAGUUGGGUGCCCGCACUAAGUUCGGCAUCAAUAUGGUGGCCUCCCGGGAGCGGGGAACCACCAGCUUGCCUAAGAAGGCGUGAACCGGCCCAGGUCGGAAACAGAGCAGGUCAAAACUCCCAUGCUGAUCAGUAGUGGGAUGGCGCCUGUGAAUAGCCACUGCACUCUAGCCUGGGCAACACAGCGAGACCCCAACUCA